GGGUUAGUAGCUCAGUUGGUAGAGCAUCGGCCUCUUAAGCCGCUGGCCCUGGGUUCGAGUCCCAGCUGACCCACCA
rnacentral:tRNA from 1 species